GGUUGACCUCGGAUCAGGUAGGGAUACCCGCUGAACUUAAGCAUAUCAAUAAGCGGAGGAAAAGAAACCAACAGGGAUUGCCUCAGUAACGGCGAGUGAAGCGGCAACAGCUCAAAU
rnacentral:rRNA from 2 species